GUGGAGUGGUAAUGAUGACUUCAUUGGUCUAGAGUCUGAGCUUUCUCUGAGGAUCUUUAAAACCACCUGAUCCACUCUG